CGAGGGCCGUGGUGAACGAGGUGCAGUGGCUGCAGCAGCUGCAGCAGCAACAGUUCGCGCAACAUCUUCUGUGGUCUGCAAGAAAAGUGAAGCUCUCCAACCAGGACUACCAGUGUCUUCAUUUUUAGCCAUCCUCAACAAGCUCUUCUACUUAACAAAACGAUUAAUUUAGAGACAGAAAGAAAGAGGUCUAUAGAGAGGGAAGAUAGAUAAAGAGCUCAGGCGGCCAUAACAAAGAAAGCUCAAUAUCGCUUCUCGUUG
rnacentral:misc_RNA from 1 species